UGGGGAAUAUUGCACAAUGGGCGAAAGCCUGAUGCAGCAACGCCGCGUGAGUGAUGAAGGUCUUCGGAUUGUAAAGCUCUGUCUUUUGGGACGAUAAUGACGGUACCAAAGGAGGAAGCCACGGCUAACUACGUGCCAGCAGCCGCGGUAAUACGUAGGUGGCGAGCGUUGUCCGGAUUUACUGGGCGUAAAGGGUGCGUAGGCGGAUGUUUAAGUGAGAUGUGAAAUACCCGGGCUUAACUUGGGUGCUGCAUUUCAAACUGGAUAUCUAGAGUGCAGGAGAGGAGAAUGGAAUUCCUAGUGUAGCGGUGAAAUGCGUAGAGAUUAGGAAGAACACCAGUGGCGAAGGCGAUUCUCUGGACUGUAACUGACGCUGAGGCACGAAAAGCGUGGGUAGCAAACAGGAUUAGAUACCCUGGUAGUCCACGCCGUAAAACGAUGAGUACUAGGUGUAGGAGGUAUCGACCCCUUCUGUGCCGCAGUAAAACACA
rnacentral:rRNA from 1 species